rnacentral:rRNA from 1 species
UACGGGGGGAGCAAGCGUUGUUCGGAUUUACUGGGCGUAAAGGGCGCGUAGGCGGUAGCACAAGUCAGUUGUGAAAUCUCCGGGCUUAACUCGGAAAGGUCAACUGAUACUGUGCGACUAGAGUGCAGAAGGGGCAACUGGAAUUCUCGGUGUAGCGGUGAAAUGCGUAGAUAUCGAGAGGAACACCUGCGGCGAAGGCGGGUUGCUGGGCUGACACUGACGCUGAGGCGCGGAAGCGUGGGGAGCAAACAGG